GAUGAACGCUGGCGGCGCGCCUAACACAUGCAAGUCGAGCGAUUAAAGCACCUUCGGGUGUGUAUAAAGUGGCGAACGGCUGAGUAACACGUGGGCAACCUGCCCCUUUCAUUGGGAUAGCCACGGGAAACCGUGGAUAAUACCGAAUACUUCGAGACUUCCGCAUGGAAGACUCGAGAAAGCUCCGGCGGAGAGGGAUGGGCCCGCGGCCUGUUAGCUUGUUGGUGGGGUAACGGCCUACCAAGGCAAUGAUGGGUAGCUGGGUUGAGAGACCGACCAGCCAGAUUGGGACUGAGACACGGCCCAGACUCCUACGGGAGGCAGCAGUGGGGAAUCUUGCACAAUGGGCGAAAGCCUGAUGCAGCGACGCCGCGUGCGGGAUGAAGGCCUUCGGGUUGUAAACCGCUUUCAGCAGGGACGAGGCGAAAGUGACGGUACCUGCAGAAGAAGCCCCGGCUAACUACGUG
rnacentral:rRNA from 1 species